rnacentral:rRNA from 1 species
CCUACGGGGCGCAGCAGUGAGGAAUAUUGGUCAAUGGACGAGAGUCUGAACCAGCCAAGUAGCGUGAAGGAUGACUGCCCUAUGGGUUGUAAACUUCUUUUAUAAAGGAAUAAAACGAGGCACGUGUGCCUUUUUGCAUGUACUUUAUGAAUAAGGAUCGGCUAACUCCGUGCCAGCAGCCGCGGUAAUACGGAGGCUCCGAGCGUUAGCCGGAUUUAUUGGGUUUAAAGGGAGCGUAGAUGGGUUGUUAAGUCAGUUGUGAAAGUUUGCGGCUCAACCGUAAAAUUGCAAUUGAUACUGGCAGUCGUGAGUACAGUUGAGGUAGGCGGAAUUCGUGGUGUAGCGGUGAAAUGCUUAGAUAUCACGAAGAACCCCGAUUGCGAAGGCAGCUUACUAAACUGUGACUGACAUUGAUGCUCGAAAGUGUGGGUAUCAAACAGGAUUAGAUACCCUUGUAGUC